rnacentral:rRNA from 1 species
AACGAACGCUGGCGGCAUGCCUAACACAUGCAAGUCGAACGAGACCUUCGGGUCUAGUGGCGCACGGGUGCGUAACGCGUGGGAACCUGCCUUUAGGUUCGGAAUAACUCAGAGAAAUUUGAGCUAAUACCGGAUGAUGUCUUCGGACCAAAGAUUUAUCGCCUUUAGAUGGGCCCGCGUUGGAUUAGCUAGUUGGUAGGGUAAAGGCCUACCAAGGCGACGAUCCAUAGCUGGUCUGAGAGGAUGAUCAGCCACACUGGGACUGAGACACGGCCCAGACUCCUACGGGAGGCAGCAGUGGGGAAUAGUGGACAAUGGGCGAAAGCCUGAUCCAGCAAUGACGCGUGAGUGAUGAAGGCAUUAGGGUUGUAAAGCGCUUUUACCCGAGAUGAUAAUGACAGUAUCGGGAGAAUAAGCUCCGGCUAACUCCGUG